rnacentral:tRNA from 1 species
GCCCGGUUAGCUCAGUCGGUAGAGCGCAAGGCUCUUACCCUUGUGGUCGUGGGUUCGAGCCUACAUUGGGCG